UAAGCAGAACAGGUAAUCGCGGAUGAUAUAUCUUUCCUUAUGUUACAGCUUUUUGCUGUCAGGAAAAUGAUAUCAUAUGAGGAAAGUCCGGGCUUCACAGGGCAGGAUGCCGGAUAACGUCCGGGAGGGGUGACCCUCGGAAAGUGCAACAGAAAAUAACCGCUGCACUCGUGCAGUAAGGAUGAAAAGGCGAGGUAAGAGCUCACCGCCCGACUGGUAACAGCCGGGGCUGUGUAAACCCCAUUCGAAGCAAGACCAAGACGAAGCUAUAUGGCUGCCCGUCAUGCUUCAGGUAGGUCGCUUGAACCGUGUGGCAACACACGGUCUAGAUAGAUGAUUACCCAUCGACAUAACCCGGCUUAUCGUUCUGCUUACAUU
rnacentral:RNase_P_RNA from 1 species